rnacentral:rRNA from 1 species
GAACUCUGGUAUUGAUUGGUGCUUGCAUCAUGAUUUACAUUUGAGUGAGUGGCGAACUGGUGAGUAACACGUGGGAAACCUGCCCAGAAGCGGGGGAUAACACCUGGAAACAGAUGCUAAUACCGCAUAACAACUUGGACCGCAUGGUCCGAGCUUGAAAGAUGGCUUCGGCUAUCACUUUUGGAUGGUCCCGCGGCGUAUUAGCUAGAUGGUGGGGUAACGGCUCACCAUGGCAAUGAUACGUAGCCGACCUGAGAGGGUAAUCGGCCACAUUGGGACUGAGACACGGCCCAAACUCCUACGGGAGGCAGCAGUAGGGAAUCUUCCACAAUGGACGAAAGUCUGAUGGAGCAACGCCGCGUGAGUGAAGAAGGGUUUCGGCUCGUAAAACUCUGUUGUUAAAGAAGAACAUAUCUGAGAGUAACUGUUCAGGUAUUGACGGUAUUUAACCAGAAAGCCACGGCUAACUACGUGCCAGCAGCCGCGGUAAUACGUAGGUGGCAAGCGUUGUCCGGAUUUAUUGGGCGUAAAGCGAGCGCAGGCGGUUUUUUAAGUCUGAUGUGAAAGCCUUCGGCUCAACCGAAGAAGUGCAUCGGAAACUGGGAAACUUGAGUGCAGAAGAGGACAGUGGAACUCCAUGUGUAGCGGUGAAAUGCGUAGAUAUAUGGAAGAACACCAGUGGCGAAGGCGGCUGUCUGGUCUGUAACUGACGCUGAGGCUCGAAAGUAUGGGUAGCAAACAGGAUUAGAUACCCUGGUAGUCCAUACCGUAAACGAUGAAUGCUAAGUGUUGGAGGGUUUCCGCCCUUCAGUGCUGCAGCUAACGCAUUAAGCAUUCCGCCUGGGGAGUACGGCCGCAAGGCUGAAACUCAAAGGAAUUGACGGGGGCCCGCACAAGCGGUGGAGCAUGUGGUUUAAUUCGAAGCUACGCGAAGAACCUUACCAGGUCUUGACAUACUAUGCAAAUCUAAGAGAUUAGACGUUCCCUUCGGGGACAUGGAUACAGGUGGUGCAUGGUUGUCGUCAGCUCGUGUCGUGAGAUGUUGGGUUAAGUCCCGCAACGAGCGCAACCCUUAUUAUCAGUUGCCAGCAUUAAGUUGGGC